rnacentral:rRNA from 1 species
UACGGAGGGUGCAAGCGUUAUCCGGAUUCACUGGGUCUAAAGGGUGCGUAGGUGGGCAGUUAAGUCAGUGGUGAAAUCUCCGGGCUUAACCCGGAAACUGCCAUUGAUACUAUCUGUCUUGAAUAUCGUGGAGGUAAGCGGAAUAUGUCAUGUAGCGGUGAAAUGCUUAGAUAUGACAUAGAACACCAAUUGCGAAGGCAGCUUACUACCCGAAUAUUGACACUGAGGCACGAAAGCGUGGGGAUCAAACAGG